rnacentral:rRNA from 1 species
CCUUGACAUACUAAGAACUUUCCAGAGAUGGAUUGGUGCCUUCGGGAACUUAGAUACAGGUGCUGCAUGGCUGUCGUCAGCUCGUGUCGUGAGAUGUUGGGUUAAGUCCCGCAACGAGCGCAACCUUUUCCUAUUUGCCAGCGGGUCAUGCCGGGAACUUUAAGGAUACUGCCAGUGACAAACUGGAGGAAGGCGGGGACGACGUCAAGUCAUCAUGGCCCUUACGGCCAGGGCUACACACGUGCUACAAUGGUCGGUACAAAGGGUUGCUACCUCGCGAGAGGAUGCUAAUCUCAAAAAGCCGAUCGUAGUCCGGAUCGCAGUCUGCAACUCGACUGCGUGAAGUCGGAAUCGCUAGUAAUCGCGGAUCAGAAUGCCGCGGUGAAUACGUUCCCGGGCCUUGUACACACCGCCCGUCACACCAUGGGAGUUUGUUGCACCAGAAGUAGGUAGUCUAACCGCAAGGAGGACGCUUACCACGGUGUGGCCGAUGACUGGGGUGAAGUCGUAACAAGGUAGGCGUAGAUGA